rnacentral:misc_RNA from 1 species
AGUGUUCCCUGUAACAACUGCCGUUGACUUGUGACAUACCAAGUUCAAUUGUUAUUUCAGCCUAAUAUCUUGCCUAGCUGAGUUAAUUGCGUCCAAGCUAAUCUCCGUUUUGAAAGUACCGCCACACCUUGAACCCCAUCUUUCUGCACCAUGAUUGGUCUCCCUGCCGCUGCCCUUGGAAAUGCACGCACUUCGCGCUUUGCUUGUGUUUUCCUGUUUCGUUUGCGCCAUUUUUCUCCUCAGCCCAGCAGUGGACGGUGUGUUGUGUUCGCUGCGCUGCGUGCUAGCGAAAUGCCGAGCUGUUGCGCAUACAACUGCUGCAAGAAACCUGGAGAUGGUUGCGCUGUGUUCAUGAUACCACAGGGAAAGCGUGACGGCUUGCGUAGGGAGCAGUGGCUGCUCAACAUUGGCCGAAAGAACUUCGUUCCCACAAAGAAUAGUGUUGUUUGCGAGCGGCAUUUCACCGAAGACCAAUUUGAGCCACGCAUAUUGAAAGAAUUUGGGAAAAAAAAGCUGAGGCCCAACGCAGUUCCCACAAUUUUCUCACACCGACCUAUCGUGAAACAGGAAAAGCCCCCUCCACAGGAACCAAAAGAACCUGAAAAUGACAGUAGUGAGUGGUUGUUCCUGCUUGUCCCACCUCCGAAAAUGUCGGCAAUAAUGUUCUCUCGCCAACUUAAAGAUGCAGCCAACUACAUUAUUACCUUUAAUGCAGAUUCUGUGGCCACGUUAUGGUUGCCCGUAAAUGAUGCAUCCGAAUUAAGGCCCGCCUCUUCGACGAGUGAUCCCAGCUCCCCUUCCCCAGACUGCCUUGAGCUGCCUGAUGCCUGCUACGAACCAGUUUUGAUCGACACAUCCGACGAGGUACCUUUGGAAUGCAUAGAUGAAUUGGAGCAGAAUGAAGAGAAUGCUGACAGAAAAUUGCAAGCAACAGAAGAAGAUACUUGAAGAGCGAGGUGGAAAAGACACUGUUGAAGAAAAGAAUCUGACACCUUUUCAGCGAUGAUGAGAUGUCGCCAUCAUCACUGGAGUGGUUGUCAACUUGGAAGUCAUGUGCGGAUAGGAUGCCGGGCUGCAUCCCAGUAUCACAGCUCUGUCUUGGCUUAGCUGCACACUAGCUUCAACUAUUGUCUGGUUCCUGCUGGGAUGGGCAUUGCCCCGUUCGUUCUUGGCCCUGUCACUGCUCACCCGGGACGCUCCCCGGCGCCGUCUCUGCUGAACCAGGCCAUGUCCUGGCACUGACCCUGAAGAAUUGGGAUGCGAUCCAGCUCUUGGUGCUGCUGUGGCAGGCAACACCAUCGCUUUUACAGCUGUCCUGAGCCACCAGGGCCAAUAUUGACCCCAACUUGCAAUAUGACCGCAGUGAACUUGUGGUUGUAGUUACGCUCGUCGAUGCAACCACACCUGAUGAACCUAGAACAGCUAAGCCAGCCAUUCUGUGAGUGCUGUUGUACUUGACUGCUGUUCAUGUGA